UUGUGAGAAUCAAAAUCUUCCUAAACUAAGGUUCAUUCAUAUAUACAUCAAAUAGAUCAAUCGGGUGAACUAAUAUUCCGGUAGAUCAAUCGGGUGAACUAAUAUUCCGGUUGGCUAACUAGAAGAUAUCUGACAGCUUAUUUUGAUUGUGACCUUCACUUUGUCUUUCAUUCAUCGACAAUUAAUGGCAUCUGAUGGCAUCUAGUUAUAAGACCUAGAAGGAUAUUUCUGUACUUGGUUAUGAAAGUUGCAAUUUUCGAAAACUCAAGUCCAAAAAUGCUGAUAUUUCAACAAUGUUUAUAACUCUCUUCUGCACUUGAUUCAGUCAUUGUAUAUCUUGUGCAGUGUAUGUUGCAUCCAGAUUGAAGACGAGUAUCAGAUACAUUCAGAUGAGGGUAAUCCUGGGUAUUAUGGAGUUCGUGAGCUACGUGGAUGAAAGAGGACGCUCAUUGGCUACAAAACUGAGACAGUUGAUGCAUCAAAUAUGGAGUUUGGCUCCCAUUCUCUUGUCAAAUUGAGAGGUGACUGUAAUUUAUCACAUUCCUUAUAGAAUUUGUAGCAUCUAAUGAUGUUGGUGGUGGGGAUUAUGGGUGGAUGCUAAACUUGUUGGACGGCAAUUUUGGUUCACGGAGUAAUAUUUUUGGGCAAAAAGUGGGAAACAUCAAUUCGUUAUGGUUUACUAGUAAUCUUUGUAGGAGUAUUAGAUUUGAAUAAUACAAAGGAAUGCAAACAAAGCAUAUUUGAUUUAA